rnacentral:rRNA from 1 species
UACGUAGGGUGCGAGCGUUAAUCGGAAUUACUGGGCGUAAAGCGUGCGCAGGCGGUUUUGUAAGCCAGACGUGAAAUCCCCGGGCUUAACCUGGGAAUGGCAUUUGGGACUGCAAGGCUGGAGUGCGGCAGAGGAGACUGGAAUUCCUGGUGUAGCAGUGAAAUGCGUAGAUAUCAGGAGGAACACCGAUGGCGAAGGCAGGUCUCUGGGCUGACACUGACGCUCAUGCACGAAAGCGUGGGGAGCAAACAGG